UACGGGAGGCAGCAGUGAGGAAUAUUGGUCAAUGGAGGCAACUCUGAACCAGCCAAGUCGCGUGAAGGAAGACGGCCCUAAGGGUUGUAAACUUCUUUUGUAAGGGAAUAAAGUGUAGUACGUGUACUAUUUUGCAUGUACCUUACGAAUAAGGAUCGGCUAACUCCGUGCCAGCAGCCGCGGUAAUACGGAGGAUCCGAGCGUUAUCCGGAUUUAUUGGGUUUAAAGGGUGCGCAGGCGGGAGAUUAAGUCGGCGGUGAAAUUUUGCAGCUCAACUGUAAAAGUGCCUUCGAAACUGGUUUUCUUGAGUGUGGAUGAAGUAGGCGGAAUUUGUGGUGUAGCGGUGAAAUGCAUAGAUAUCACGAGGAACUCCGAUUGCGCAGGCAGCUUACUAAGCCACAACUGACGCUCAGGCACGAAGGCGUGGGGAUCAAACAGGAUUAGAUACCCUGGUAGUCCACGCAGUAAACGAUGAUUACUCGCUGUUUGCGAUACACUGUAAGCGGCUAAGCGAAAGCGUUAAGUAAUCCACCUGGGGAGUACGUUCGCAAGAAUGAAACUCAAAGGAAUUGACGGGGGCCCGCACAAGCGGAGGAACAUGUGGUUUAAUUCGAUGAUACGCGAGGAACCUUACCCGGGCUUGAAAUGCAUCUGACGUGGGCAGAGACGUCCAUUCCCUUCGGGGCAGAUGUGUAGGUGCUGCAUGGUUGUCGUCAGCUCGUGCCGUGAGGUGUCGGCUUAAGUGCCAUAACGAGCGCAACCCUCAUCAUUAGUUACCAUCAGGU
rnacentral:rRNA from 1 species